rnacentral:rRNA from 1 species
UUUAAAUUUAGAGUUUGAUCCUGGCUCAGGACGAACGCUGGCGGCGUGCUUAACACAUGCAAGUCGAGCGAUGAAGCUUCCUUCGGGAAGUGGAUUAGCGGCGGACGGGUGAGUAACACGUGGGUAACCUGCCUCAAAGUGGGGGAUAGCCUUCCGAAAGGAAGAUUAAUACCGCAUAAUAUGAGAGAAUCGCAUGAUUUUCUCAUCAAAGAUUUAUUGCUUUGAGAUGGACCCGCGGCGCAUUAGCUAGUUGGUAAGGUAACGGCUUACCAAGGCAACGAUGCGUAGCCGACCUGAGAGGGUGAUCGGCCACAUUGGAACUGAGACACGG